rnacentral:sRNA from 1 species
UGCGAACGUGACGUCCACCACGGACCCGC